rnacentral:rRNA from 1 species
UACGAGGGGGGCAAGCGUUGUUCGGAAUUAUUGGGCGUAAAGGGCGCGUAGGCGGUCAGCACAAGUCAGUUGUGAAAUCUCCGGGCUUAACUCGGAAAGGUCAACUGAUACUGUGCGACUAGAGUGCGGAAGGGGCAACUGGAAUUCUCGGUGUAGCGGUGAAAUGCGUAGAUAUCGAGAGGAACACCUGCGGCGAAGGCGGGUCUCUGGGCCGAUACUGACGCUGAGGAGCGAAAGCGUGGGGAGCGAACAGG